UAGAAUUUCAUGUGAAUUAAAUUAAACCCAUAAAGUCCAUAUAAACCUACACCAUGGCUUGUGAAAACACUACUUAUCACAGAAAAAUGCCAUCGUUUACUCAUCUUUGUAAGCUAGGACAAACUGAGAAAAUGUUCUUCCUAGGAGAACACUCAACUCUCUGUUGCGUCCCAGCCCGUUGCAGCUGAAAAAAAAAAACAAACCAGAACCUUUUCUGAUGGUGGAUUUCUUUUUCUCCUGAGUGAGUCAGAGAACAGACUGUGGCCUACACCAAGAAAAAAAGAAAAAACAUUGAGCCUUACGCACACGGAAAUUUGGGAACCGGAAAGAACGUCUGUGAAAACAGCAGCACGGGGUCCAGGCAACGGCCCCCACUUUCCUGAGUUCUGAACCCGGCUCUGUGGCUUCUCAGGUGAGGAAACGCAGGAAAGAGACCUGCCUGUGGUCCCACCAUCACGUCGCGACAGAGCCGCAGCUGGAAUUCAGGUGUGGUCCUCUUCCCGCUUCUCCACAACUUCCACUUUGGACUUUAAACUUAAUUCCCAGGAUCCUAGGGCCCUUUUUUGUUAUAGACCCCAAAGGCAACUGAAUACAAACACCUAUAAGGCCAGAAAAUACCUCCCUCAUUUUAAUUAUUAAAAACAUUAUGAAAUUGACUAAAUUGUGAUAGAUAUGCAUCCUAAGAGACCAGUAAUUUGCACGAGUUCAUCGUUUUUCUUUAAAUCUUAACAUGAUCUGGAAGGCUUCAGAAGUGCCCUAAUUCUGAUCUUUCUCCGCGUUUUCUUUCGGUUUGUCUCCCUCUGGUGGAUUUAAAAAAAAAUACUUGUUUUUAUUUUCAGAGUAACUAUAGAUUAUUGGGGACAGGUUUUGCUCAAGGUCAGAGUUCAUCUGUUGUCAGCCUGGUUCAUGUUGUGGAACUCCUAGAAAACCAUCUUUCCUGGGUGGGAGUCUUUGCAGAGGCUCGACUUCAGGGAGGGUAGAAACAGGCCCAGCACGUCUGCUCCUUCAUACCUCCGUGAGCGCCAAGAAGCACAUGCGCAGACACAAAGGUGCAUUCAGAGAAUAAGUGGUUUGAAAUGAUUCAGCAUAAAGUGCAAGAGAUUAGCGGUGAAAGGCUGUGGUAAGAGAUGGAGUGGAAGGGUAAGCAGGGACCAAAUCACAGGGCCUUUUAAGUUAUGUUUGAAUCUUAUUUUGUAGGUAAUGGGGAUUGUAUUAGUUAGGAUUAGGCUGCAAAAACAGAAAACCUAUAUAAGUGGCUUUUAAAACAAAAAGUUUACUUCUGUCUGUGUAAAAGAAGUCAGGAAGUAGGCAGUCCAGGGUUUGAUAUGGAGCUCCCUGUCAUCAGUGAUCCAGGGUCCUUCCAGUCACGACUCCAUCUCUAGAGUGUAGCCUUUGUCCUCAUGGUCCAAAAUAGCUGCCAGAGCUCCAGCCAUCAUAUGCAUUUAUGCAAUUGGAUAGCUGCAUUGGCAAUUCAAUCUCAAUUUCCCAGAAAACAAACUGACUGAUUUCUACUCUCAAACCAGCUCUUGCCUUUUGUUCUCUAGCUCCCCAUUUUACUAUAGGAAAGAGCAAUGAAAUGAGACUCAGGAAGUAUGGGAGACUCUGGAGCUGAGGACAGAGAGUGAGUUCAGAAAACAUACAAGAGAGAUUUAAAAAGGAGUGGGGACCAGGCAUGCUAAAUGCUGCACAGAGGUCAAGCCACACAAGAUCUGAAGGUCGGCGUUUACAGAGCUGGCAGUAAGGUUAUCCGUGACCUUGGCAAGGGGGCGUCUACACUUUUUUUGUAGUGCAGAGCCCGAUUCAAUGUUGAAGCUCAGGGACGACAACUGCACCGUUCUUGCCUCUCACUGUCGUGUUGAUGAGCGCCCUGUGCUUGUCCCAGCCGUGGCUGGGACUUACCACUUCCCUUGAGGUUAGCCUCCAGUGAGAAAGAGCUGAAGUCGUCGGAGCUGCGUUUGUGGAAAAAAGCCUGGGUUCUCUGACCCUGUUCGCACCUCAGUUCUGCUCCUCUAGCUCCACUCUGUGUUUCCUGGACAACUGCUUCUCUGGACCUUAAUGGCCCCUGCUCCCUCCUUAGUUUUAACGGCCAUCUUGACUUCUUAGCAUCUUCUUUAGGACACAGUCUGGUGUUCUCCCGGCUUCUACCACUUACAGCUGCCCAGGCCCACAGCCCCGACGGAUG
ensembl:lncRNA